GAUCUGAUCUGAAACGGCAUGCAGUACAAAUACGAGAUGAUGGAAUGAAAUGGGAUAGAAGGUAGAGGGCUGCCUGUGACGCCCAAAAGC